rnacentral:rRNA from 1 species
UAAGCGGUGGANAAGACUNNCAACGAUUCCCCUAGUAGCGGCGAGCGAACCGGGAGAAGCCCAGCUUGAAAAUCGCGUCGUUUCGGGGACGCGAGUUGUAGUCUGGAGAAGUGUCCUCUGCGGCGGACCCGGCUUAAGUCCCUGGAAAGGGGCGUCAGAGAGGGUGAGAACCCCGUCGGGCCGGGACCCUGCCGCUCCACGAGGCGCUGUCGACGAGUCGGGCUGUUUGGGAAUGCAGCCCUAAGCGGGAGGUAAAUUCCUUCCAAGGCUAAAUNCAGGCGGGAGACCGAUAGCGAACAAGUACCGCGAGGGAAAGAUGAAAAGGACUUUGAAAAGAGAGUUAAAAAGUGCUUGAAAUUGCUGGGAGGGAAGCGAAUGGAGCCUCGUGUGCGCCCCGGUCGGAUGCNGAACGGCGAGAGCUGGUCCGCCGCUCNACGCGGGGCGCUGGUCNGCGUGGGCUUCCCGGCGGGACAAAAGUCGGCCUUUUGUGGCCGGCCGAUGCCNUCCAAGAAGCCCAGGAAACUGAANUGCGCGCCCUCCCUUGGGGAGGGUUCCGUCGGGAGUACCUGCGCACUCGAGACGCCGGCGUAGUGGGCUUUUCAUCCGACCCGUCUUGAAACACGGACCAAGGAGUNUAACAUGCAUGCGAGCCGGUGGGNGGCAAACCCACGUGAGAGGCGAAAAUAAAUUGACAGGUGUGAUCCUCCUGGCGGGGUGCAACAUCGACCGACCAUGAUCUUNUGUGAAAGGUUCGAGUAAGAGCAUGCCUGUUGGGACCCGAAAGAUGGUGAACUAUGCCUGAGCAGGGCGAAGUCAGAGGAAACUCUGGUGGAGGCUCGUAGCGAUACUGACGUGCAAAUCGUUCGUCAGACUCGGGUAUAGGGGCGAAAGACUAAUCGAACCAUCUAGUAGCUGGUUCCCUCCGAAGUUUCCCUCAGGAUAGCUGGAGCACGAAGGAGUUUCAUC